rnacentral:rRNA from 1 species
UACGUAGGGGGCAAGCGUUGUCCGGAAUCAUUGGGCGUAAAGAGCGUGUAGGCGGACCGGUAAGUCAGCUGUGAAAGUCCAGGGCUCAACCCUGGGAUGCCGGUGGAUACUGUCGGGCUCGAGUCCGGAAGAGGAGUGUGGAAUUCCUGGUGUAGCGGUGAAAUGCGCAGAUAUCAGGAGGAACACCAAUGGCGAAGGCAGCACUCUGGGACGUGACUGACGCUGCGACGCGAAAGCGUGGGGAGCAAACAGG